rnacentral:rRNA from 1 species
UACGAAGGGGGCUAGCGUUGCUCGGAAUCACUGGGCGUAAAGGGCGCGUAGGCGGGUCUUUAAGUCAGGGGUGAAAUCCUGGAGCUCAACUCCAGAACUGCCUUUGAUACUGAGGAUCUUGAGUAUGGGAGAGGUGAGUGGAACUGCGAGUGUAGAGGUGAAAUUCGUAGAUAUUCGCAAGAACACCAGUGGCGAAGGCGGCUCACUGGCCCAUAACUGACGCUGAGGCACGAAAGCGUGGGGAGCAAACAGG